AUUGGCCCUCCCCCCCCCCCACUCCCGACGCCCCCUCCCCACGUUUGGGUGCGCGGGUCAGGCUAGGCCUCUGCGGACAGCGGGGAACCGAGGAUGACCGCCGGGGACAGGGGACGGUGCGCAGGGGGGCUGGCCGCGGAGCACCGACACGGCGGCGGCGGCGGCGACGCAAGGCUAAACCUAGGAGAGCCUCUGGCUUCUCUCUACAACAAUGCAGGAUGACAGUUCUCCUUCGAGGACAGCCUGGAAGGGAGCUUGACUUCGCCACUCUCAGCAUCGACUAGGAUGUAACUGUCUGUGUUCAGCGAGAAGGAACUUAACCUUCCAGCUUCUGCAUCACUGAAGGCCCAGCCCAGCCCUGCCCCGCACCAUUCUAGCCUAGCCCAAACAAUCUCCAGCCACAACAGGUUCCCAGUCAGGAUCUUCCUGCUUGACCAACACCUCGAGAGGUCUCACCUUUCUCCUGCCUGCCUGGAGUCCAGGGCUGCUCCAGGCCUCUCCUUAUCUUGCCUGCAGCACUGUGGACACACAUUAGUUGAGCUCCAUGUCUUGGGUAAGGCUCUGCUCCCUCGGUUUCCUUAUUUACAAGCAGGAGCAGAGCAUCAGCCCAACCCAGCAAGACAGUACAGAGAAUCUGGUGAGGGUUCACAUAUGCACGCCUGACACACUUUAUUGCGGUUCUGGACCAUACAGCAGGUCCAGGACGGCAGAGGAGGAGAAGCAGCUGGCACAGGGAUUUCCAGGAUCAUGUAAUUCUGAUCAUAGUAGAGUAUCUCAUGAGGCUCAGGGAAUGUGCCUUCUCGAAUGUGUUGGGCUCUCAGAAGAGGUCUCUGAAUGCAGAAAUCCUUCCUCUAAUCCUUUACAGUGACCAAUUCAUGGUUCUCACAGGGUCAGGUGCUGUGAUGCUCAUUUGGGAUAAAGCUGAAUUUACUGUCCCCAUUUUUCCUGAGUGUGUGCUACAAGGUCCCUGGGUCUCAAGGUCAUGAGUCUGGACUUUGAACCUACAUUGAUUCCUGCCUCAGUUCUUCUCCUUACUGUUUUGUCAGCCUGAACUGGUCACGUUGUCUUUCCGAGUCUUUUAUCUACCCUCUCUGUCAAAGGUGGGUCAACAAUGUAUCCCCUCCAUCCACUCCAGGGUGAAUUGUGAUGCUGUCCUCACAGUUAAUCCUGGAUAUAGUAAAUGCCCAGCAAAUAGCUGCUGUGAAUAGUGUGCUGUUCGUGGGUCUGUCCCCCUGCAGGAAUUGCAACUGUAUCGGAUUCAUCUUCACAUGAUACAGUGCCAAGCACACAGGAAGCACCACAAAAAGAAGUAAAUAUAUAAAAAGAAAACAGCUAUUAUCAUGACUAUUAUUGCUGUGUUUGGAGCUGCUAAGGUAAAUAAUCUUUGUAGGACCUAGGGCAAAAAUACAAACAGAAGCCCACUCACCAAAUGUCUAUUUCAAUGUUGUAACUCACACUAAUAACCUAUUAAAUAAAAUAUGUUCUAGCCUCCUA